CAGCAUGUUUCCCAGGGCUGUGGCUGGUUGUAGCCUUGGGGUCCCCAACUGCAUGCGAGAGCAUCUGUGAGAGCCUCUGACAACUGAGGUCAGCAUAACACCUGCAGCUGCCACUCGCCUUUCCCUUAGUA